GAGGGGUAUGUAAGCACGGGGACGGAGGGGUGGCUAUCCUCCCUGGUUUCUCUUGGUAAUGAGCCGCCUGAGAUGCAGAUAGCAGGAAAUUGGACCAGCAAAUGAGAACUUCCUCCUCAACUCCCCCCUCCGCACCCGCACCUCCCCCCAAAACCGAAACAGCCGAUAAAAGGGGGGAAGAACUAGUUCCCUGGGGCCGCGGAACAAAGAAAGCAAAUAUCAAAGAUCUUCGCUGAGACACCUGAAUGGGGCCAAGGCCAAAGCCAGUCGGACUGCUCAGAGUCUGAAAAGUUUCUCUUCCACCGUAAUUUGGUGCCGUGACUCAGAUGACAAUGCUCGACGACGGUCCGGAGUGGUCCAUCUCUCAGUGACCCUCAAGUGAAACCGCAGAGGGAAGUUGGAUAUGCCGUGACUUGGAUGACAACGCUCGACGACGGUCCAGAGCGGUCCAUCUCGCAGUGACCCUCAAGUGCAACCGCAGAGGCUCGCAUCUCCUCCUGCCUUCAGAACAUAUCCAUCUGGAUGUCUGCUCGCCACCUAAAACUCAACAUGUC